GAUGAAGAACGCAGCGAAAUGCGAUAAGUAAUGUGAAUUGCAGAAUUCAGUGAAUCAUCGAAUAUUUGAACGCACAUUGCGCCCCCCAGUAUUCUGGCGGGCAUGCCUGUUCGAGCGUCAUUUCAACCAUCAAGCCCUGCUUGUGUUGGGGUCCUGCGGCUGCCCGCAGGCCCUGAAAACCAGUGGCGGGCUCGCUAGUCACACCGAGCGCAGUAGCACAUCUCGCUCAGGGCGUGCGGCGGGCUCCAGCCGUUAAAGCACCCACCUUUCGCAAGGUUGACCUCGGAUCAGGUAGGAAUACCCGCUGAACUUAAGCAUAUCAAUAAGCGGAGGA
rnacentral:misc_RNA from 1 species